rnacentral:rRNA from 1 species
GGCCGCGGUAUACUAACCGUGCGAAGGUAGCGUAAUCACUUGUCUUCUAAAUAAAGACCAGUAUGAAAGGCAUCACGAAGGCUAAACUGUCUCCUCUCUCCAAUCAGUGAACCUAAUCUCCCCGUGAAGAAGCGGGGAUCCCAUUAUAAGACGAGAAGACCCCAUGGAGCUUAAAACACCAUAACACCUGCCUCACUCUCAACCACUCCGAUGUUUCCGUGCAACGGCACCCUGAUUAUGUGUUUUUGGUUGGGGUGACCACGGAGAAAAACUCAUCCUCCACAAUGAAGAGGGCCCUCCCCUAAACAAUAAGUUACAACUUUAUGUAUCAAAAAAUUGACAUUCAUUGACCCAACAAAUUGAUUAACGAACCAAGUUACCCUGGGGAUAACAGCACAAUCCACUUUGAGAGCCCCUAUCGACAAGUGGGCUUAUGACCUCGAUGUUGGAUCGGGAUAUCCUAGUGGUGUAACCGCUACUAAAGGUUCGUUUGUUCAACGAUUAAAAUCCC